rnacentral:misc_RNA from 1 species
CAUUUCUGUUCGCACGUUAUGCUUGUUUACUAUGCUACCGUGAUCCCACGGAGUAUACGUGCGUGAUCCUAAGCAAUAGUGCUCAGACGUUAUACAAAACUUUUAUGGAGCUUCAAUCUACUUUUAUUAACGUAUUAAUUAUAUAUAUUUCAUUGAUAUCAACGUAAUGGAUUUUUCUCUACCUGAUAGUGAUAUUUGGGAUGAUUCGCCUUCUCAAGACAAAUUCCUCGAAAACUACUUUAAAGACUAUAUGUUACCUUCUCCUGAUAUAACAAAGAAGAAAAGUAAAAGAAAAAGGCAGAAGCUUUCAAAUUUAAAUGAAGAUUACAAUCAUGUUUUGCAACCAACUGAGACUCAGAUAUGCCAUGUUCUUAACACUAAAACAAAAAAUGAAACAUCAGGUUCUAAUUAUUUAAAUACUAAAAAACAAAAAAAUGAUACUUUUAAAAGUUAUUUGGGUAGUAGUGGAGAAAUCCUAUUAUCCAAAGUUAAGAAAAAUAAUUUGCAUGAAAAGAGAAAAUUGGAAAAUGAAUGCAGAAACAGAAUAGACUUACUGCCUUCAGAACCUGCUUCAUCUUUGCAAGGAGAUAAAUUAUCUUUAAAGAAGAAGAAAAAGCAAACUUCAAAAACUGCUUCACUUAGAGGUAUGAAUUCAACUAAUUCAAAACAUGAUAAAAAUAAUAUAGAGCCUGAGAAGGUAAAUAAGUGGAAUAAAAAUAUACUAAAAUCAAAUAAACUAAAGAAAUCAUCCCCAGCCUCAGAAAUAAAAAGAGUAACUAUAGCUGUGGAAUUUCCAAAUGAAGAUUUUGAACUAAUAGAGGAGAUUAAAAAUAGUUCUAUAUAUAAAGAAUUACAGAAUUUUACAGGACAACAGCAGUUUUUCAAACAAAUUGAUUCAAGAAAUAAUGUCUCUGAAUCUUCUAAUGACAAGGAGCACAUCCCAGAUGUAAGUGAGAAUGAAGUUCAGAUGAUAUCUAUAAAACAAACAAGUCAAUCAAUAACAGAGAAUGAAACUAAGAAUAGUAAUUUUGAUGGAAAGAAAAAAUUAAAAAAUAAAUUUAAAAACAUAACAUCAUUCCACUCAGAACCAAUUACUAUGUUGCAUGGAGGUAAAUUAUCUUUAAACAGGAAAAAAAAUAAAAAGAAUCAAGUUUUAAAAACAGGUGUUGAUGAUGCAAUGAGAAAUGUAGUUUUAGCUAAUUUGAAAGAUGGCAAAAAUAAUGUACAACUUAAAACAAGUAAGCAUAGUAAAAAAACAUCAUGCACAAAUGACAUAAAGAAAACAUCUCAAGGCUCAAAGGACAGUGGUGUAACUGAAGCUGCAAAACUUUCAAAUGAACGUAUUGAGAUAACAGAGGAGGUUAAAAGUAGUUGUAACAUAGUGCAGAAUUUUUCAAGGAAAUUACAGUUUCCAAGACAAAUUAAUUCAAGUUGUAAUUUCUCUAACUCUUCUAAUGAAGGAUUCUUGGAUACUAGUGAAAAUAAAUUGCAAAUGACGUCUCUAAAACAUUGUUCAAGUCAGUCAGCAAUGGAAUGUAAAACUGUCCCUGAAACAAGUCUAUAUAAAAAUAAGAAAAAUAAAGCAACAUCUUUUAUAAACAAAGCACAAAAAAUGUUAAGUGCUGCAAAAUUUAGGUAUUUGAAUGAAAAAUUAUAUACUGGAUCUGGAAGAGAUGCAUAUGAAUAUUUUCAGAAUAAUUCUGAUGAAUUUGAAGAUUAUCAUUCUGGAUAUAAAAUGCAAGUCCAUAAAUGGCCCAUGAAUCCUGUCGAUUUAAUUAUCCAAGAUUUACGUAAAUUAUCUGAAAAUGCAGUAAUAGCUGAUAUGGGAUGUGGUGACGCUAAAAUUGCUCAAACAUUUACAGAUAAGACUGUCUAUUCAUUUGACUUGAUAGCACUGAAUGAAUUUGUAACACCUUGUGAUAUAUCUAAGUUCAGCCUUGGAUGUAAUGGUGAAUCCAAGACUGUCCAGGCCAAUCCUCAUGCCUGGUACCUUUGUCAAAUGAAAGUGUAGAUGUUGUAGUGUUUUGUUUAUCACUUAUGGGCACAAACUUUAAAGACUAUCUAUUUGAAGGUCAUAGAAUAUUGAAAGAAAGUGGCAUUUUAAAAAUAGCAGAAGUUGAAAGCAGAAUUGAUGAUCUUGACAAGUUUAUAAAAUGUCUGAAAUGUAUGGGAUUUUCAUUAGAAUGCAAA